CAGCCGCCGCGGUAAAACGAAGGGGGCAAGCGUUGUUCGGAUUUACUGGGCGUAAAGCGUACGUAGGCGGAUAUUUAAGUCAGGGGUGAAAUCCCGAGGCUCAACCUCGGAACUGCCUUUGAUACUGGGUAUCUUGAGUCCGAGAGAGGUGAGUGGAACUCCUAGUGUAGAGGUGAAAUUCGUAGAUAUUAGGAAGAACACCAGUGGCGAAGGCGGCUCACUGGCUCGGAACUGACGCUGAGGUACGAAAGCGUGGGGAGCAAACAGGAUUAGAGACCCGCGUAGUCCCUGUCUCUUAUAC
rnacentral:rRNA from 1 species